AAGAUAUUGUUCAUUAAAAAGGAGGAGUCAAUGCAAAACUCAGAUAUCUUCCACCUCUACUUAUCUGACUGCAGAGAGGAGGACAGAGAACAGUGGACACACAGUUUAACAUGAUGGACUAUAGGACAGGACUGCUGCUUUUAACUAUCUGCUGGGCAGGUGUUGAUGGUCAGACUCUGACAGAAUCUGAACCAGUGAUUAAAAGGCCUGGAGAAUCUCACAGACUGACCUGUACAGCCUCUGGAUUAGACAUUAGUAGCUACUGGAUGGCCUGGAUCAGACAGGCUCCUGGAAAAGGACUGGAGUGGAUUGCCAUGAUCAGAUAUGACAGUGCUGAGAUCUACUACUCUCAGUCAGUUCGAGGCCGGUUCACCAUCUCCAGAGACAACAACGUCGAUCAAGUGUAUCUGCAGAUGAACAGUCUGAAGACUGAAGAUUCUGCUGUUUAUUAUUGUGCUCGAGACACACAGUGACUGGAGUUGGUUGAGCAGCUGUACAAAAACCUACAGUAACCCCUCUGACUGGGCUGAUAAACAACAACUGUCUUUGCUUUGGGGUUGAAAGAAAUUACUGCAUGUGCUAAUUUAGGAGCAGUAUACAGAAUCAGGGGCUGAAGGUGCAGACUCUGACCAAGGCACAAUGAAUGCACUAAAACACUGAAUAUGAUACUAAGAUAGGGAGAAAAGAAUAAACCUGAUCAUGAGACACCACUUUGAUCCAACCGUAAUUAUAAAACUGGAACAGCAGGACUUCUGAACACUUCACCCAGAGUCCCACAGGCCACUCUUUAUCUGAUAUUGUACCAAAUGUAAAAAGAAAAAAACAACAACAAUAAAUAAACAUUAUAGAUCAUUGCAGUGAAAUAAUUGUAUCACCAUACAGACUGGAAGAAGACUCAAACAGGUCAGAUCUCCUCUCUCUCAGCAGACAGUGACAGAAUACAACAUCCACAGAGUUCAGACUAUUAAACAGACCUAAUGAACAAAACGUCAUGUGUCUCCAUGCUGAGUCCCUCUUUCAAAACUCUAGAGGGCAGUCUAGGACUGACUGACUUUGACUCAUUGACUCAUACUGAUCAUAUGAUUAAAACACAUGCACUAACAGUAAGGUAAAUAAAGAACAGAGGUGAUUUGAAUGCUCUUAUCUGACAUUAACACAUCUACUGAUGAUGGCAUAUUUGUUCAAAUCAAACCCUAGUUCCCAUUUUCAUCUCAUCUAAUUAUGUAAACCAUUUAGUUGCUUGAUUGUGACGUUCAACAGCACGUUACAAUUUAUAUUUAUUCAUUAAUUACAAAAAAAGCACCCAAGCAGUCCAAUCAGCUGUAUCCUUACUGUGCUGAGGAGUCAAUGCAAAACCCUGUUUAUAGAAUUCACUAAUAGAGGCCAUUUCUUGUUCAUGGUAGACAGAAGAAAAGUUAUGUAUUUAAUGCAUCUGUGUAGAUGUCAUCUGACUUCCACUGCAGCCAACAUCAGUAUAGAAGAGAGUUAGAUAGGCUUGAUUUUCCCUGAAUACAAGAUGUAUAUG